AAGAGUGUCUGGCACAGAGUAGGGGCCCAAUAGGUGCUCAUUGAGUGAGGAUUGGUCACUCUUGCUGCAUGGCCAUUUGCUGUGUUUAGAUCCUUGGGCAUGAGGUCCUACCUGAGGGUGGACGGUAGCAGACUAGUGCUGCUCAAUGGUUGGGAUUUCAGAGAGUCGGGGAGAUAGGGGAGGGUGGGCAGGUGGUGGAAUAUACAAAAUUAAGACUUAGGGCAGGGAUGGCAUGGACUACCCUCUCCUGAUGAGUAGCCCUUGAGUCCACUGGGCAAGAGCAAUGGUCAACUGGGGUCUAAGACCAUGGCCUCCUUGACCCCUAAGGUGGCCUUGCUAGGUGUUCUGAAAAUGGGGAUCAAGGGAACCCUAGUGAUUCUGUCCCUACUUCCCUUUGAGGACAAGUUGGAGGCAGGUGCUGGAUACAAGUCUAUAAUAACAACCAUUUGGAAGUUUCUCCACUCACAGAUGUCAGUCCCCCAUCCUCCAGACAUAUCUCAUAGUGACUGAAUCAUGGGUCAAUGGUGGCGUUGAGAGUGUGUGGGGGACAGCUGAGCCCAUUGAUCAAGGGCUAGGACAUCCUGUCCACUAAUCAGAAAGUUAAUACUCUUCAAUGAGGUAGUGGUGAUUAAUGAAUCAAUAGGUUGGUCCUGUAAUUGUGGAGUGGCAGUCUGGCUCUUUUCCUCUCUUUUAGUGGUAUGGGCAGGUGGGUUGGAUGGGGUUGGUAGACCCCAUACUUCCUUAGCUUCCCUAAUUCUACUCCCAUACCUGACUCCUAAGCCCCAUGGUUAUACAAGAUAGUAAGCCUUUCUGUCCAUCAUGAUUGGGUGGGCCUCUCCCUGGGGUCAGCCUCAGCCCUUUUCUCUGCUUUGUAUCCUGGGUGACCUUGGCUGUUGCUUCCUUACCUCUCAGAGCCUUAGUUUCCUCAUCUGGAAUGUGGGGAGAAACUCAGCUCAUUGUGUUGUUGUGCCUGAAAUCAUGUACUGCCCAGUACACAGUAGGUGCUUAACAAACAGGAGUCUUUCCCUUGCUGGGGAUCUUUGACCCUGAGCCCAGUGGAGAUUGUAACGGGCUAGGGAUGGUGGCAUGUUGUUGGGCAUUCCUGGCAUCACUCAGUCCUGUAAGACAUCAGUGCCCAAGUGACCCCUGGAUGGAAAUGGGGGCACAUUGCCUUGCAAGGGGUCUGUAUACCAGGCCUGCUGGACCUGAAUGUGUAUGUGUCAGGCUGGGUGUACAGGUGGCUGACUCAGCUGCUUCUGGGGAGGGGACUGACCUUGGCCUCCUCCCACCCCUCUCCCAACUCUUGAACAGAGGGAGACAUAGUGGAGUGUCCAGAGGGGUCCCUCCUCCAAGACUUCACAGACAGCAGGUCAAGAGCCAAGGUUAUUGCUCCCAUCCUGCCUCCAGUGGAGAGAGAUUUUUCCCCCACAGGUCUUGUCACUCCUCAGUUCUCCUCCAACAUAUUAUGAAGCAGGGGCUGAAAAGACUGGCUUUUGGAAGGUGCAGCUACAGGUCCCACAGACUGGAAAAAAUAUUCUGGCCUCCUGCCUGCAUCUCCUCUCCCCCACCAUGGACAGGCUAGAAAAGACAGAAUGUCAACCCUGGUCCUAGGGGUCUUCCCAGGAAUCUAGACCGAAUGGUUCACUUCCUCAGGAGGCUACACCUGCUGGGGGAGGGCUGUAGGGUGAAGAUGGGGUUCUGACUAGGCAUCCUGUCCAGAGGUACCCUGAGUACAAGUGUGGGGGCUCCCUCCUCGGCUCCUUGGAGGUGGAGAUAUCAUGUACCGUCUGAGUAUAAUCACAGCGAUCUGCUGUGGGGUCGGGGGAGGAAAGAGGAAGAGCCCCCUCCCUUCAACUCCCCUCCCCUUUCAGACCAGGAUAUAAGCCCCACACAGAACGCACUGAGCUGAGAAGGCCACAGCCCCACCUGUAGAAGUCCAGCCCUUCGGACUCCUCUGGCCUUCUAUCUCCUGACCACUCUGCCUCUGGAGCUGUCGCUGCCAGAGCAGCCUAACUGUGGUGAAGACCGCCACGGCCUCCAGAGAGAAAUAUGCUAAGACACCGACCCCAUUUCCAUGUUUGCUCUUGACCCCGGAACCUGGAUUCUUCUCCAGGCUUGCUGUGUCUGAGGAGUGUGUCCCUUCCCUUGGGCUGGAGGGCUGUGAAUGGUCCUUCCUUGUUCCCUAAAUAAAGUGCAAAUUUCUUUGAAAUGGAAA